CCUACGGGAGGCAGCAGUGGGGAAUAUUGCACAAUGAGGGCGACCCUGAUGCAGCGACGCCGCGUGAAGGAUGACGUCUUUCCGUGUGUAAACUUCUAUCAGCAGGGAAGAAAAUUACGGUACCUGUCUAUUUUUCCCCGGCUAACUUCGUGCAAGCCGCCGCGGUAAUACGUAGGGGGCCAGCGUUAUCCGGAUUUACUGGGUGUAAAGGGAGCGUAGUCGGCAGUGCAAGUCUGGUGUGAAAGGCGGGGGCUCAACCCCAAGACUGCACUGGAAACUGGAAGGCUGGAGUGCAGGAGAGGUAAGUGGAAUGCCUAGUGUAGCGGUGAAAUGCGUAGAUAUUAGGAGGAACACCAGUGGCGAAGGCGGCUUACUGAACUGUAACUGACGUUGAGGCUCGAAAGCGUGGGGAGCAAACAGGAUUAGAUACCCUAGUAGUC
rnacentral:rRNA from 1 species